rnacentral:lncRNA from 1 species
AAAUUUGUAUUGAGCAUUGAAAUAGACCCACACUUGCUGGUAUUACUUCAUGAAUGUUAUCACAAGUGAUCGCAAGAUGAUAAUAUCAUAUAAUCUUUAAACCUAGAGAUAUGGUUAUUGUUUGCUAGUUGAUUAUACAUUGAUAAUGCGAAAACGCAUCAGUAACUUGAUGUUAUAAAACGUAUUAUUGUGUGUGGUUUAACUAGUAAAUGAUAAAGGCAUAUUAGUCGACGUUUUUCUGUUCCUUUUAUUCUAUGAUGAUAAAAGCGAUAUCUUGGCCACUUGAUUUGAUUGACUUAUGUGUCGGGGCCGGUCAGGAUAAAGUUGAUGUGUUCAACUGAGUUCUGUGUCGAACAAAUCAGAGAUCAAGAAAUAAAGUGCUAAACAAUAAGUAUUGUUAGCAUGAUAUCUAGAACAGAGGAUUAUGUGAUCCCUUAUCUAAAGGACAGAUUAUUGGUCAGGGUUGACAGCGGCUAUUGAAAGCUACGAUUGCUAUCGGGUACGGAAGUCAUACGUGAGAUAUAGUUACUAGACUUAUCCAAGUGGGAGACUGUUGGAUUAGUGUCUAAGUUAGUAACCAUAUUUGGUAUAUACUUGACCCGAGUGUGCAUGGUCCUUUUGGGUUGCCUUCACCAAAGCAACUUGACAAGGUAAUUUGAUAUGAGAGAGGAGAUAUUAUGAUUUAUUUAUAUAUUAUAAGAAUAAUAUAUUAANUUUUCUGUUCCUUUUAUUCUAUGAGGAUAAAAGCGAUAUCUCGGCCACUUGAUGAUUUGGUUUGACUUAUGUGCCGGGCCCGGUCAGGAUAAAGUUGAUGUGUUCAACUGAGUUCUAUGUCGAACAAAUCAGAGAUCAAGAAAUAAAAUGCUAGACAAUAAGUAUUGUUAGCAUGAUAUCUAGAACAGAGGAUUAUACGAUCCCUUAUCUAAAGGACAGAUUAUUGGUCAGGGUUGACAGCGGCUAUUGAAAGCUACGAUUGCUAUCGGGUACGGAAGUUAUACGUGAGAUAUAGUUACUAGACUUAUCCAAGUGGGAGACUGUUGGAUUAGUGUCUAAGUUAGUAACCAUAUUUGGUAUAUACUUGACCCGAGUGUGCAUGGUCCUUUUGGGUUGCCUUCACCAAAGCAACUUGACAAGGUAAUUUGAUAUGAGAGAGGAGAUAUUAUGAUUUAUUUAUAUAUUAUAAGAAUAAUAUAUUAAAGGAGAAAUCAUAUUUAUUUAAUUAGUAUUAGUCAUAAAUUAAUUAGGAAUUAAUUUGGUGACUAAAAGAGAUUAAUUAAAUAAAGGGGUAUAAACUGUCAAAUGUGUGAUAGUUGAGUUUUGGGCUAGGAAACCUAAUGGACUAAGGGGAACGAAAUUAUGAUGAAGGAUCAUCAUAUUUUCGUCCAAGGCCUCAUUCCAUAAGGUUCCUUGGGCUGCUUGGUGGCUAAGCUGUCCAUUAGGGUUUAGACUAAAAACCCUAGCACCCUAUAGUAUAAAUACAUGCCCUAUGCUUCAAUUUAAGGCCACUUGAUUCCAAGGGAACCCUAGGGCCGAAAUUAGCAUCAUUCCCUUCUCUCUCUUAGUUGCCUUCUUGCUUCAAGGUGUUUGUGAGCCAUUAGAGGCACU